rnacentral:rRNA from 1 species
UACGGAGGGUGCGAGCGUUGUUCGGAUUCAUUGGGCGUAAAGGGUGCGUAGGUGGCGCUGUAAGUCGGGUGUGAAAUUUCGGAGCUUAACUCCGAAACUGCAUUCGAUACUGCGGUGCUUGAGGACUGGAGAGGAGACUGGAAUUCAUGGUGUAGCAGUGAAAUGCGUAGAGAUCAUGAGGAAGACCAGUGGCGAAGGCGGGUCUCUGGACAGUUCCUGACACUGAGGCACGAAGGCCAGGGGAGCAAACGGG